rnacentral:rRNA from 1 species
UACGUAGGGACCGAGCGUUGUCCGGAUUCAUUGGGCGUAAAGAGCUCGUAGGCGGCUGCUCAAGUCGAAUGUGAAAACUCGAGGCUCAACCUCGAGCCUGCAUUCGAUACUGGGCGGCUAGAGUCUGGUAGGGGGAUCUGGAAUUCCUGGUGUAGCGGUGGAAUGCGCAGAUAUCAGGAGGAACACCUAUGGCGAAGGCAGCUCGCUGGGACGUUACUGACGCUGAGACGCGAAAGCGUGGGGAGCAAACAGG